GAUGAACGCUGGCGGCGCGCCUAACACACGCAAGUCGAACGGAGUGGAGGUAGCUUGCUACCGAAGCUUAGUGGCGGACGGGUGAGUAACGCGUGAGGAACCUGCCUUUCAGAGGGGGACAACAGUUGGAAACGACUGCUAAUACCGCAUAAUGUACGAUGACGGCAUCGUCGACGUACCAAAGAUUUAUCGCUGAAAGAUGGCCUCGCGUCUGAUUAGAUAGUUGGUGAGGUAACGGCUCACCAAGUCGACGAUCAGUAGCCGGACUGAGAGGUUGAACGGCCACGUUGGGACUGAGACACGGCCCAGACUCCUACGGGAGGCAGCAGUGGGGGAUAUUGCACAAUGGGCGAAAGCCUGAUGCAGCGACGCCGCGUGAGGGAAGAAGGUCUUCGGAUUGUAAACCUUUGUCUUCAAGGACGAUAGUGACGGUACUUGAGGAGGAAGCCACGGCUAACUACGUGCCAGCCGCCGCAGUAAAAC
rnacentral:rRNA from 1 species